rnacentral:rRNA from 1 species
UACAGAGGUCCCAAGCGUUGUUCGGAGUUACUGGGCGUAAAGGGUGCGUAGGCGGCUUUUUAAGUUUGGUGUGAAAUCUCCCGGCUCAACUGGGAGGGUGCGCCGAAUACUGAGAGGCUAGAGUGUGGGAGAGGAAAGUGGAAUUCCUGGUGUAGCGGUGAAAUGCGUAGAUAUCAGGAGGAACACCGGUGGUGUAAACGGCUUUCUGGACCAUAACUGACGCUGAUGCACGAAAGCGUGGGUAGCAAACAGG